CUUACUUUUCCUUUGUAGUAAUUCUGAACACUUGUACUCUGAUUAAUUUGUGUUCAUCACUUGACUAUACUGUAGUUAAACAAAUGAAAGGACGUAUGUACAGUACUUCAAUCCCUGCUACACGUGCAUGAGUAUCCUUUCUAAUCCUUUGUUCAGAAAGAAGAGCAGCUGCAGAGACAGAAUUAUAAAAGCUUCUGGAUUUACUUCUAAAAGUAAAAAAAAAAAAAAAAAAAAAAAAAAGGAGAUCUUAAAACAGAAAAACAUCAUAUGCAAUGUUUUGGAUUUACCAGAUAUUAAAAAUCGUGCAGUGAAACAUCUGUGUACUCAAUCAGACAAUAAAUGUGAAAUUACAUGAAGCAGAGAAGCAGAUCACAUACGGAUUAAUUAAUGCACUUUAAAAAUGUAAAACGUGGUAAUGUUCAAUAAAUCAGGUAAAGGACAGGGAGAUGGCCAGGCAGGAGUAAUGAAUAAUGCUACUUUCAUGAUCCCUUUUUAUCUCCAUAAUCAUUUAAAAUAUUAAAAAAAAAAAAAAAGUUUUCCUGUUGUAGCUGCUGGUCAGUAUAAAGGAAUUGCUGCUCAGGCGUGUGACUAUUAGUAAGUUGAAAGACAUCUUAGAACAGUGUGUCACAAUACUUUGAUCUUAAUCAAAUGCAUUCGUAACUUAAAAAAAA